UACGGGGGGGUGCGAGCGUUGUCCGGAAUCACUGGGCGUAAAGGGCGCGUAGGCGGCUUUGUAAGUUAGAGGUGAAAGCCCAGGGCUUAACCCUGGAAUUGCCUUUAAGACUGCAUCGCUUGAAUUGUGGAGAGGUGAGUGGAAUUCCGAGUGUAGAGGUGAAAUUCGUAGAUAUUCGGAAGAACACCAGUGGCGAAGGCGACUCACUGGACACAGUAUUGACGCUGAGGUGCGAAAGCGUGGGGAGCAAACAGG
rnacentral:rRNA from 1 species